ACUACGGGGAGCUGCAGUGGGGAAUAUUGGGCAAUGGGCGAAAGCCUGACCCAGCAACGCCGCGUGAAGGAAGAAGGCUUUCGGGUUGUAAACUUCUUUUGACAGGGAAGAGCAGAAGACGGUACCUGUCGAAUAAGCCACGGCUAACUACGUGCCAGCAGCCGCGGUCAUACGUAGGUGGCAAGCGUGUUCCGGAUUUACUGGGUGUAAAGGGCGUGUAGCCGGGCUGACAAGUCAGAUGUGAAAUCCGGGGGCUCAACCCCCGAACUGAAUUUGAAACUUUUGGUCUUGAGUAUCGGAGCGGCAGGCGGAAUUCCUAGUGUAGCGGUGAAAUGCGUAGAUAUUAGGAGGAACACCAGUGGCGACGGCGGCCUGCUGGACGACAACUGACGGUGAGGCGCGAAAGCGUGGGGAGCAAACAGGAUUAGAUACCCUAGUAGUC
rnacentral:rRNA from 1 species